rnacentral:rRNA from 3 species
CCUGUUCCCAUGCCGAACACAGAAGUUAAGCUCCUUAGCGCCGAUGGUAGUCGGACUGACGUUCCGCUAGAGUAGGACGUUGCCAGGC